AACUAGAUGACUGAAAUAUAAGUAUUGGUCUCUUAAACCACAGAAUAGUAAAGUAAUGAUUACUUCUAGUA
rnacentral:tRNA from 1 species